AACGUAGGUCCCGAGCGUUAUCCGGAUUUACUGGGCGUAAAGCGCGUGUAGGCGGUCGGGCAAGUCGGGCAUGAAAGCGCUCGGCUCAACCGGGCGAGGUUGUCCGAUACUGGCCGACUAGAGGGCAGGCGAGGGUGGUGGAAUUCCGGGUGGAGUGGUGAAAUGCGUAGAGAUCCGGAGGAACACCAGUGGCGCAAGCGGCCACCUGGACUGCGCCUGACGCUGAAGCGCGAAAGCUAGGGGAGCGAACGGG
rnacentral:rRNA from 1 species